AGGGAUCAUUACCGAGUUUACAACUCCCAAACCCAAUGUGAACGUUACCAAACUGUUGCCUCGGCGGGAUCUCUGCCCCGGGUGCGUCGCAGCCCCGGACCAAGGCGCCCGCCGGAGGACCAACCAAAACUCUUAUUGUAUACCCCCUCGCGGGUUUUUUUAUAAUCUGAGCCUUCUCGGCGCCCCUCGUGGGCGUUUCGAAAAUGAAUCAAAACUUUCAACAACGGAUCUCUUGGUUCUGGCAUCGAUGAAGAACGCAGCGAAAUGCGAUAAGUAAUGUGAAUUGCAGAAUUCAGUGAAUCAUCGAAUCUUUGAACGCACAUUGCGCCCGCCAGUAUUCUGGCGGGCAUGCCUGUCCGAGCGUCAUUUCAACCCUCGAACCCCUCCGGGGGGUCGGCGUUGGGGAUCGGCCCUCCCUCUGCGGGGGCCGUCUCCGAAAUCCAGUGGCGGUCUCGCCGCAGCCUCUCCUGCGCAGUAGUUUGCACACUCGCACCGGGAGCGCGGCGCGUCCACAGCCGUUAAACACCCAACUUUCUGAAAUGUUGACCUCGGAUCAGGUAGGAAUACCCGCUGAACUUAAGCAUAU
rnacentral:rRNA from 1 species